rnacentral:rRNA from 1 species
GACGAACGCUGGCGGCGUGCCUAAUACAUGCAAGUAGAACGCUGAAGAGAGGAGCUUGCUCUUCUUGGAAGAGUUGCGAACGGGUGAGUAACGCGUAGGUAACCUGCCUUGUAGCGGGGGAUAACUAUUGGAAACGAUAGCUAAUACCGCAUAACAAUGGGUGACCCAUGUCAUUCAUUUGAAAGGGGCAACUGCUCCACUACAAGAUGGACCUGCGUUGUAUUAGCUAGUAGGUGAGGUAACGGCUCACCUAGGCGACGAUACAUAGCCGACCUGAGAGGGUGAUCGGCCACACUGGGACUGAGACACGGCCCAGACUCCUACGGGAGGCAGCAGUAGGGAAUCUUCGGCAAUGGGGGCAACCCUGACCGAGCAACGCCGCGUGAGUGAAGAAGGUUUUCGGAUCGUAAAGCUCUGUUGUAAGUCAAGAACGAGUGUGAGAGUGGAAAGUUCACACUGUGACGGUAGCUUACCAGAAAGGGACGGCUAACUACGUGCCAGCAGCCGCGGUAAUACGUAGGUCCCGAGCGUUGUCCGGAUUUAUUGGGCGUAAAGCGAGCGCAGGCGGUUUGAUAAGUCUGAAGUUAAAGGCUGUGGCUCAACCAUAGUUUGCUUUGGAAACUGUCAAACUUGAGUGCAGAAGGGGAGAGUGGAAUUCCAUGUGUAGCGGUGAAAUGCGUAGAUAUAUGGAGGAACACCGGUGGCGAAAGCGGCUCUCUGGUCUGUAACUGACGCUGAGGCUCGAAAGCGUGGGGAGCGAACAGGAUUAGAUACCCUGGUAGUCCAAGGGCGAAUUCCACAGUGGAUAUCAAGCUUAUCGAUACCGUCGACCUCGAGGGGGGGCCCGAUACCCAGCUUUUGUUCCCUUUAUGAGGGUUA